AUUCCACGGACCUAGGACUCACCAAGAAUCUAGGUAAGUUCACUUAUGAUGAAUCUCUUAAUUUUAGGAUUUCAGAUGAUGGACUGUUCAAAUUUUAGAACUAAAUUUGGGUCCCCGUUGCUGUAGGGGGUGGAUGUUCUCAAGACCGCCCAUGCUUCUAAGCCAUCCAUCCAUCCCGGAAGUACCAAGAUGUAUUGAGACUUGAAG
rnacentral:lncRNA from 1 species